rnacentral:rRNA from 1 species
UACAGAGGUCCCAAGCGUUGUUCGGAUUCAUUGGGCGUAAAGGGUGCGUAGGCGGCGCGGUAAGUCGGGUGUGAAAUCUCGGAGCUUAACUCCGAAACUGCAUUCGAUACUGCCGUGCUUGAGGACUGGAGAGGAGACUGGAAUUUACGGUGUAGCGGUGAAAUGCGUAGAUAUCGUAAGGAAGACCAGUGGCGAAGGCGGGUCUCUGGACAGUUCCUGACGCUGAGGCACGAAAGCCAAGGUAGCAAACAGG